rnacentral:rRNA from 1 species
GAUGAACGCUGGCGGCGUGCCUAAUACAUGCAAGUCGAGCGAACAGACGAGGAUCUUGCUCCUCUGACGUUAGCGGCGGACAGGUGAGUAACAUGUGGAUAACCAACCUAUAAGACUGGGAUAACUUCGAGAAACCGGAGCUAGUACCGGAUAAUAUAUUGAACCGCAGGGUUCGAUAGUGAAAGACGGUUUUGCUGUCACUUAUAGAUGGAUCCGCGCCGCAUUAGCUAGUUGGUUAGGUAACGGCUUACCAAGGCAACGAUGCGUAGCCGACCUGGGAGAGUGAUCGGCGACACUGGAACUGGGACACGGUCCAGACUCCUACGGGAGGCAGCAGUAGGGAAUCUUCCGCAAUGGGCGAAAGCCUGACGGAGCAACGCCGCGUGAGUGAUGAAGGUCUUCGGGUCGUAAAACUCUGUUAUUAGGGAAGAACAAAUGUUUAAGUAACUAUGCACGUCUUGACGGUACCUAAUCAGAAAGCCACGGCUAACUACGUG